CGUGGCUGCCGGGCUCCCCGCAGCUGCCGAGCGUUGACGUGGAUGUGUGACCUGGUGUGCACGGCUGUGCCAGCGCCUGUGAUGCCUUUAGUGUGGCCAUGUUCAUUCCACUACAAGAGUAAAACUCAUGCACCAGAGAAGCUGCCCUGGGCCCGUUCGCACUCCCCGCUUACCUUCUGACCUUGCCUGAGGCUGCCGGACAGACACCGUGUUCAUGGCUUCUUGGAUUAGUUCUUCAUUUCUUUUUGGUUUCCACUGUGGCUGUGUUCUUCAUUUGAGAUGUAAUUUGCCCAUUUUUCCCGUUUUCUGUCCAUUUUAUUUUUCCCUUUCUCAUACCUCCUGAUUUAAUAUGUAGAACACGAAUAUGCUUCUGCAAGUCAGAAGUGCAGAAAAGGUGUGCUGGGCUGCCUCCCUGGAGAAUCCCUCCCCGCCCCUCCCCCACUCCCUGCAGGAAGCUAAUCUAAUUGUUGUCUUGUUUAUUCUUCCUGUGCUGCUGCUUGUAAAGACAGGCAGUCGUAUCUACACUCCGUGCAACAGGCAGCGUACUACUGUGUUGUUUGGCGUGGUGCUUUCUUUCACUUAUCAAUAUCUUCUAGAAGUCUUAUAGAAAAAAUCAGCAAACUGCGUGAACACACAGUUCCCAAGCAGGGAUGUAAAAACGGCCCUUAGCUGCCUGAAAAGGUGUUCAACUUCCUCACAGAAGAGAAAUGCAAAUUGAAGCCACACCAAGGAAACACUUCUCUGCCAUCACAUUGGCAAAAAUCAAACGUCUGAGGACACACCCUGCCGGCGACGCUGUGGGGAAGGUCGUGGGAUUAGAGCAGAGCAGCUCUUACACUUUGCAUUUGUGCUUCUUAACUUUGAAAAGUUCUUUGUGUAGUAGAGACAUGAGACAUGAGCCUUUUCUCUAGGAAGCGAGUUCCAAAUAUUUUCUCCUGGUUCAUUUGUCGUUUCGUUUUGCUUAGUUUUUUCCUUGCAUAAGCUGCUUUCAUUGGCAAUUGUAUGAAUAUUUUCUUUGAUUACACCUGGAUUUGUAGUCACAGAAAGCCCUUCUUCAUUGCUCUUAUAGAGGAAUUCACAAAUGUUUGCUUCUAGCAUUUGUAUAUUUCAGUUUUUUGCAUUUAGGACUCCCAUCUACUUGGAGUUUAUUCUUGGGCAUGGUGUGAGAAAUGGAUCUAAUUUUAUCUUUUUUGCAAAUGGUUUUCCACUUGUCCCAGUACCAUUUUAUGUGAAAUACCAAGACCGUUCUAGUGACUGGAGCGCCCCCUCCUCACACACGGCGUCAGCGGGGGGCCUGUCUCUGUCCCUCCUCUCCCACGGCCCUGUGUAUUUUUGUGUCAUUUGGCACUGUUCUCAUUAAAGAGGCCCCACUGCGUGCUUUAGCGUCUGAUAGGGCUGGCCCCGUUCACCCCGCCCUUCCCUGGCAAGGCUUGUUUAUUUUUCCAUGUGAACGUUAGUAUCAGUUCUAGCUCUCUUUGAAAGAGAAACGCAUGGGGUUGUUAUUAGAAUCGCAUUAAAUUUAUACCCUAAAUUAGGGAGAGCUGACAUCUCGGUGAUGCUGGAACAUCCUAACUGUUCUAUUUCGGGUUUUUUUUGUGUCUUCAGGAGUGUUUUAUGAUUGCCUUCGUAUAGGUUAUGAACACUUAUUGUUAAGUUUCUGUUGACGGGUUAGAGAGCACGGGUUUGGCUGUGUGCUGGUUAUUCUCUGUGUGCCCCCCAGACACCCCCACCCAGCCUUACCCGUAUCCCGUAUGGCUGUGUCAAGGGGCGCCCCUGCCCACCAGCUGCUCAUCGUGUAUGGCUAAGAGGAAGCUCACAGAAAAUAAUGGGGUGGGGCGAGAGAGAUCGGGGUUUUAUCCCCAGACCCCUUCUCCCGGUCCUGGGCAGGAGCGCCUGCGUCUCCCUGCCAUGGACUGCUGGGCGGCCCGGGCCCUCCUCUGGGGUCUGCCUGCGUCCCUCCUGUCCUCAGGCGUGGGUCAGCCCUGGCUCCCCGGCUACCUACCCCAGGUUCUGCUCUGUCCUUUCCUAGUUCCCCUGACUCUACCCAUACCGUAGAGACCGCCCCUUCUUUAAACCCUCUGGGCUCACUCUGCUGGUGUGCGCCCUCUGCUCCCGCCUGGACUCGACUCGCUCUGCUGGUGGGCGCCCUCUGCUCCCACCUGAACUCGACUCGCUCUGCUGGUGUGCGCCCUCUGCUCCCGCCUGGACUCAACUCGCUCUGCUGGUGUGUGCCCUCUGCUCCUGCCUGGACUCUGCCCCAGGCACCUGCCCGGCACCCUCACCUUUUUGGAGAGAGCCCCUUGGGAGCCCACCCUCUUCCCACUCACUGUCCCUUGCCUUGCAAGGAACAGAUCCCUCCCCAGCUCUUAAGGCAGCCGCAUCAGGAGCGGCACUCACAGCAGACCAUCCCCUAGGCCAGAGGGGUCUAGGGUUGGUGCACGGCCCCAGGCAACUCGGGGAGCUUCCAUGCGGGGCUUUAUCCAGAACUCCCGAAAAGAAGGCAUUUCUCCUCACCCUAGAGGGCAGGAGCCGGGCUGUUCUUACCACCGGAAAGCACAAGCCUCCCUCAGACUAAAGCAGAACUGCAAGAAGAGGAGACUCCAUCCCAAGAACGGGGUUCGGCUCCUGGAUUCCACCACGCCCAGAGCCCGGGAUUAACCUCCAGGCUUUUCCAUCACAUAAGCCAAUAAAGUCACUUUUUUGUUUCAGCCA
rnacentral:lncRNA from 1 species